GGGCCCGUAGCUCAGUCUGGCAGAGCACUAGGCUCUUAACCUAUUAAGAGCUUCGACUUUGUGGGACGUGGUCUUUUGACCAUGUCAGUUUAUUUUGGAUGAGGAAAGAAACCUAGGAGUCGCGGGUUCAAAUCCCGUCGGGCCCA
rnacentral:tRNA from 1 species